rnacentral:lncRNA from 1 species
GAAUUCGCCGGGGGAACAAGGUUACCUUUGUCGGGUAUUGGGAAAAGUGACCAACAUGAGAAGAAUAUUACCAGAAGCAUCUAUCUAGGUAAGAUCUAGAAAGAAAUGGUCAAUCAAAGGACUCAUCCCAAUGAGGAUAUAACUCAGGGGGAGUGGUUCCAUCCAGAUAAUCAACUGGGGAGGAAACUGAAAUAAUGAUCAUCCGCG